rnacentral:rRNA from 1 species
GGUCCGAACCCACGAGCGUUGAAAAGCUCGGGGAUGACUUGUGGGUAGCGGUGAAAUUCCAAUCGAGCCCGGAGAUAGCUGGUUCUCCCCGAAAUAGCUUUAGGGCUAGCCUCAAGGUGAGAGAUACGGAGGUAGAGCACUGAAUGUCCUAGGGGGUAUUGCACCUACCGAAGACUAUCAAACUCCGAAUGCCGUCAUCUUAUACUUGGGAGUCAGACUGUGGGUGAUAAGAUUCAUAGUCGAAAGGGCAACAGCCCAGAUCGUCAGCUAAGGUCCCUAAAUGUAAGUUAAGUGGUAAAGGAUGUGGGAUUGCACAGACAACCAGGAUGUUGGCUUAGAAGCAGCCACUCAUUCAAAGAGUGCGUAAUAGCUCACUGGUCGAGUGAUCCUGCGCCGAAGAUUUCCGGGGCUAAAACUUACUACCGAAGCUACGGCAUCAGUAAUGAUGGGUAGGGGAGCUUCCCAUACGGGUUGAAGCAUGACCGUAAGGACAUGUGGACAGUAUGGGAGUGAGAAUGUUGGCAUGAGUAGCGAGAUGUGGGUGAGAAUCCCACAGGCCGUAAACCCAAGGGUUCCAGGGGAAGGUUCGUCCGCCCUGGGUUAGUCGGGACCUAAGCUGAGGCCGAAAGGCGUAGGUGAUGGACAACAGGUUGAUAUUCCUGUACUACCGAUAACCGUUUGAGAGAAGGGAUGACACAGUAGGAUAAGCUAAGCACACUGUUGGUUAUGUGUGCCCAAGCAUUGAGGCAGUCAAAGUAGGCAAAUCCGCUUUGAUAAUGCUGGGAUGUGAUGGGGAGCGAAAUUUAGUAGCGAA